UAUUUUGGCUUAUGGUUGUAGAG
rnacentral:piRNA from 2 species